rnacentral:rRNA from 1 species
GGACUACAGGGGUAUCUAAUCCUGUUUGCUCCCCUAGCUUUCGCGCUGCAGCGUCAGUACCCGUCCAGGUAGCCGCCUUCGCCACUGGUGUUCUUCCGAGUCUCUACGCAUUUCACCGCUACACUCGGAAUUCCACUACCCUCUCCGGGACUCAAGCCGGCCAGUAUCGGAGGCAAUUCCUCAGUUGAGCCGAGGGAUUUCACCUCCGACUUGAUCGGCCGCCUACGCGCCCUUUACGCCCAAUGAUUCCGAACAACGCUGGCCCCCUCCGUAUUACCGCGGCUGCUGGCAC